GCCUAUGAUGCAAUUGUAUAAUUCAGAAGUGCAAUGUUAUUGCAUUUAAUGUGUUGAAACAUUUUUUGAACUAGGACGGUCUGAGGC